GCCUCCUUGGCUCAGUGGCUAGAGCGUGUCUUUCCUAUUUAGGGAUCAGGACGAGGUCGUGGGUUCGACCCCCGCAGGAGGUU